CCACAGGGAAAAACAGGUGCAGAUGGGCCUACAGGUCCGAAAGGAGAUCCCGGUGACGCAGGUGAUGAGGGAAAUAUAGGAGAAUCGGGACUCUCUGGGCUUCACGGAGCCAAUGGCAAACCAGGAAAAACUGGACCCUCAGGUGACCCAG